rnacentral:rRNA from 1 species
GCAGAGGAAAAGAAACCAACUGGGAUUACCUUAGUAACGGCGAGUGAAGCGGUAAAAGCUCAAAUUUGAAAUCUGGUACUUUCAGUGCCCGAGUUGUAAUUUGUAGAAUUUGUCUUUGAUUAGGUCCUUGUCUAUGUUCCUUGGAACAGGACGUCAUAGAGGGUGAGAAUCCCGUUUGGCGAGGAUACCUUUUCUCUGUAAGACUUUUUCGAAGAGUCGAGUUGUUUGGGAAUGCAGCUCAAAGUGGGUGGUAAAUUCCAUCUAAAGCUAAAUAUUGGCGAGAGACCGAUAGCGAACAAGUACAGUGAUGGAAAGAUGAAAAGAACUUUGAAAAGAGAGUGAAAAAGUACGUGAAAUUGUUGAAAGGGAAGGGCAUUUGAUCAGACAUGGUGUUUUUUGCAUGCACUCGCCUCUCGUGGGCUUGGGCCUCUCAAAAAUUUCACUGGGCCAACAUCAAUUCUGGCAGCAGGAUAAAUCAUUAAGAAUGUAGCUACUUCGGUAGUGUUAUAGCUUUUUGGAAUACUGUUAGCCGGGAUUGAGGACUGCGCUUCGGCAAGGAUGUUGGCAUAAUGGUUAAAUGCCGCCCGUCUUG